rnacentral:rRNA from 1 species
UAAUACCGAGGGUGCACGCGUGAGCCGCACUUACUGCGCGUUUAGCGCACGCACGCCGUUGAUUAAGUUAGUCGUGAAUUCCCCGGGCUUACCCUGGGAAUGGCCUCUAAGACUGGUCGGCUACAGUCUUGCUGAGGGGGGUAGAAUUCCAUGUGUAGCGCUGAUAUGCCUAGAGAUGGGGAGGAAUACCGGUGGCGAACGCGGCCCCCUGGACAAAGACUGACCCUCAGGUGCGAAUGCGUGGGGAGCGAACGGGAUUAGAUACCCUGGUAGUCCACGCUGUAUCCGAUCUCGAUUUGAUGGUUGUUCCCUGGAGGAGUGGCUUUCCCAGCUAACGCGGUAGAUCGACCGCCUGGCGAGUACGGCCGCGAGGUUAGAACUCAAAUGAAUUGACGGGGGCCCGCACGAGCGGCGGCGCAUGUGGUGUAGUUCGAUGCUACGCGAAGAACCUUACCUACUCUUGACAUCCGGAGUGCUUACCUCAGAUGCUUUGGUGCCUUCGGGUACUCUGACGACAGCUGCUGCGAUGGCCGUCGUCAGCUCGUGUGCUGACACUGUUGCGUUAGAGUCCCGCAUCGAGCCCCACCCUUAUCCU